UCUGCCGUCGAUUGGCACGAGUUACGGCGUCGCGAAACGGUUGGCCGCGGACACGUUCGGAAGUCAAUGACGGAUCGGCAUAGGAAAGAAACGGAGCCAUUAACUGGCCGGCGUACAGAAGAAACGACCUCGCGAUCGCGCCGUGACGGGAAUCCGUCGCCGAUGUUGAUCAACGGCUGCAGUUCACGGAUUUAACGCGAUCGACGGGGGUGUACGAUUCGCGAAAGUUUUCCAAAUGGCGAUGACUCACAAUAUCUCCGGUGACAUUAUUAUCAGAGAAUGAACCGACGAAUUAAUUUUCUCAGACAUACGGAGCAACUCAGUCGCGACCGCGUGGGCGAAAUUAGGUGUUCUCCAUUAGGGUGAUUCGACCCGUUUACAUUCACUGACCGGAAAUACGAGAUAGUACGGCUGCUUUUUCAAUUCAUACGACAAAGAUUCUUGUGUCAUCGUUAUAUUUCCGCAAGGAGUCGCGCGGAACAAGAAGCCGGGUAGCCGCGGCGGUCGGCGGCCGUCAUUGAUCUCCUGUUAGAAUCGGAUCAACUUCGAUGUAACAAGAUAAAUAGUCAGCGGGACACCGUCGGUGGUCGAGGGUGCGGAUCGCGGAGUCAUGCUGACUAUGUAUCUGAUCAAGAGAACCCGAGUACGCGCACGCUUGUCCGAGCGUAACUUAACGUGUACACCAUGAAGGUUCUCCUGGUCGCGCAACAAGCCGAUGGGAGGACACUUUUCGAAUCACUUACACGAGAUGAAGUCGUCGGUCCGCUCCCGCCUGGGCGAAGAAUUAAAUAUAUACCCCGGUAAUUCUAGCCUCUUACGGCAUAACGAUAUUGUUUCGCGACAAAAUAAUUUCGCGCGACCUGUAAUCGAUUUACGCUACGACGCGACGGUGAGAAAAGCGAUAAACGAUUGACUAAGGAAUCACCGAAGCAAGAACUAUAUCGGAUUGCGCAUCAUCUAACCGCAAAUCUCACGAUCUAACGACAAAUUCUCGCUUUAACGUUUCUCAUAGCGCGCUCACCGGCGGGGAACCCCCAGGCUUCCCGAACAGCGCGAGCCCGAUCGGCUUUUUAUCCCGUGCCGGCUUUUUGCACGAUCAUCGGGACUUUCGUCACGGCAACACCCGGGCACGUGACGCCCGUGAACACGGUGUUACAGGUGUUUGCGCCCCAUCCAACAGCCUCGACUAUGAUGACAUCCUUUCGAAUCGAUUCGUCAGACUUUCCCUCUCCUGGAUUUUUGUCGCGGCGCUCCUGCCACCCGCGAGUGUGAAAUGGUAACGUUCCAGGAAAACGUCAACCGAUCGCGCGAGACUAUCGACCAACCGGCCGGUUCGUUCUACUUCAAGCCGCCAUCGCUCGUUUCUUCGAUCGCUCGCCGACGUUCCACGUUUUUGUUAACGGUAUCCUGCGGCCGGCCCGAAGACGUCCAAUAACUUCGUUAAGUGUUUUUACUCAGAAUGCAGAAUCGGAGGUCUCCGGAAGUGGUCUGAUACAGAACAUUUAAGCAGGUUUCUUUUUUUUUCUGCGAGCUCUCGGAAGCACCGUUAUCGGUGCUACCGCGUCGACAAUGUUGCUUUAAUUGCCUAAAAAUAUCUCUCUCGGGCUUCUGUUAAAUUACGUUAAAAGAAUAAUAUGUUCAAGUUCGAGAAACACUUUGAAGUGUGAUAAAUAUGGCUUGAAUACAAUAGAAAUGUAUUACAACCUCGUCACGGAAAGUAGGUAAAAGGAAAGAAAACGAUCGAAUUUCAAAUAAAAACAUUUCGAUUAUAGGAAGCUUCCGGUAGAACGGCGAUUGUACAAUCCGGCUCGUUGCAAACGCGGCCACGAUAAUAAGUGGUCCAGAUAACAAAAAAUCUCUAGUAAGACAAGCGAAGUGUGAUCGGUUACCGUGCGCGAGAGGGGGCGGGCAUAAAUGAUGAAAGGGGUGGCCCAGGGAUAUUGGCGAGGAGCUCGUCUGCUCGGUGAACCGUGGAUUAAGAUAAACCCUUCAUCGGUUUCUUGCCGAACGAUUCCUCUCGUCCUUUUGUUGGCGCAACCUCGCGCAGAUAGCGCCGGCUUAAAGUACUUUCCGUCCCCGCGCGGAAAUUAUUUAACGCCCCGGUAUAUCUGUUCGGCAGCGACCGGCGGUGGCGGCGACGGCGGCGGCGCGCGCGAAAGAUCUUCGACGCGAUAGAAAGUAAUAGAAAGCGUGGAAGAGGAACAAACGCGAGAGAGGAGUAAGUUUGAGAUUUGCAUUACCGCGGGGAGUAAAAAUUACCCACGCGUGAAAGCAAUCGGCACGGAAAAGCGGAAAGUCUGCAAUUUUUAUUUGUAGAAAUCUGAUAUCUCUCGUGGCGCAAUUUGUACGCCGGUAAUUACUGUGAAACAAUGAAUAUGAAGCGAUUCCAAAUGACUAAACAAGGAAAACUAGAUUUCAAAAAAAUAUAAGCAUUUCUUCCAUUCUAAUAUUAAUUAUCAAACAAGCUUUCUCUUCGUAAAAUGCUUGACGAGCUUCUUAAAAUGCUUAACGAGUUAUAAAUAUUACCAUUUUUUAAAAUAGAUAACAAAUUUCUAAGCGAAACACUCUACGAGGAAAUAUGUAUCUCGACGUGGACGAAUAAUACGUUGUGACAUGUUUUUCUGCGAUGAAUCUUUGCGGCGUGAACGCAGAUUGGUUUCAUGUCGUCGAACAGUUUGCUCGCGGAUUCCUUCGUAUGCAUUUAGUAACGGCGCUCAUUAAAGCUGUCAUAAAUAUGUAAGAUGGUGCAUGCCAGAGAGCGAUUUGUGAGAGUGGCCUUGCUCCAUUUUUUUCGUGCAUAUACAUCGCUUGAUGCAUCGGCAUCUGCAUCCAAAUUAACGAACGCAUCAGAAAAUUAUAGCUAUGCGAUCCCUUUCUUUUGUGAUAGAAUGUAAAAAGUACGAGUCCUACUUUUCUAAUUGAAGCAUAGGCGUAAAGUAAAAGACUAGUUUGCAAAAUAUAUAUGAAUACUUCGAAGCAUAAAAAGAAACCUGCGGCAGAGAUUCUACAAAAGUAUCACGAAGAUUCAAAUACUCUUUGUUGAUACAUACUCAAUCGUUUUGCAUCAUCCAGUAUUUAUUACGAUAAUAAUUACUGUCGCAAUGCAAUCUUAAUAUUUUUUGAUAAUUAUCUUAUCCAUAAUGAUAACAAUCUGAUUUAAUUAAUUGCAAAAACAUAAAGUAAUGAAUACGCUUAUCAGCAAUAUUUUCUAUUUACAAUUGUUAGAAUGAUUAGAUUGUAUUUGUAUUAAAUAAAAAAUUAAUCUUAAUAAAUAGAGGCAAGUACUGGAUAAGCACAUUCAUUAUCGAAACAUUUUUCAAAAUUCAUUUGCUUAUCAUUUUUUUAUCUCUUUGCAAAACAAAUUUUCCAUAAUGCUUUUUAUGCUGUACGUAAAAAAUUGCAAUCAUAAUCGUGAAUAAUAAUAGAGCUAUUCUCUUUUUUCACGAUUAUUAUUAAUUAUAAAACAAUUUUCAAAAAAAGAAGAAAGAUAUCAUUUGGAAUAAUGAUUACAACACAAUUACAUAUGUAUUACGCUAAUAUUGUGACAGUAAUUAUAGAUGCACAAUAAAUAUAGAUGCAUCUGAUACAUCUCUCAACUUAAGCAGUGCUUUGUUUUAAUUUUUCUUCGCUGUUUGUUCUUCUUCAAACGACGCUGCACAAGUAAUUUAUAUUGUAUGCGUAUAUGUCCUAAAGUUCAGGGUAUUAUUAAAAAAUUUAUCGAUCCAGAAAUACAUCUAUACGACUGGUCUUUUUCAGUCGUAAACGUCCAGCGAGAUUUGAUAUCUGUCGAGAUCACUCUUACAUAUAUUCAUGCAGAGUGUUCCAAAGUUCAGUAUUCUUUUGUUUUCUUGAAUUGCACUUUUUUUUAAUUCUUGAUUAAAUAUCUUGAUAAUCUU